AUCAAUACUGCUGAGGAUUAAUGAGCCAGAGCAUGCACUUGAAGUGAAAAUGUUUGCUGUUUUUCUUUAACACAAAGCCUCAUGUAAGAUAAUGACCAAAGGGAUGAGUGGCAGAAAGAAAUUCAUUCUGUGCUAUCCCCACUGUCAGAGCCAAAGGUGACACAGGCUGGUGUGUGAGGGUCUGCUGCAAACCAGCCAGCUCAGACACUGCCUGGUGAAGUUGAUGUUAGAGAUAAGAGCUGGGUUUGGCUUAUUCCCUUCCCUUCCCUUCCCUUCCCUUCCCUUCCCUUCCCUUCCCUUCCCUUCCCUUCCCUUCCCUUUUUCCUUCCUUUGUUUCCCCCCCCCUUGCAGAGGUUGUGGGUAUUUUGCUGUUGUUUCUCUGCUGAUUUCAUUCCGAACACGAUACAGAUUAUUCCAGCUGUUAGCCGAGGCCAGCUGCAGGAGUCCCUCUGUCCCCUCUGGAUUCCUGCUGGGACAGCUGCACAUCCAGCUGCGCUUCCAGAAGAGAAAAACAACUGCUGCAAUGACUGAACUGCCUACAUGGAAAUUAUGGGCAACUUGGGCAUCCAUCUGUCCCUAGAGGAAAGGAAUGUGGUGGGUGUGGCAUUGUUCCUGCUGGUGCCUCUCACAGAGACAGCCAGAGCCUGGUCCACGCAUCUUGGAUACGGUAUGAUCAGCAGGAAGUGAAGAACCUACUCAGGAGCAUCUCGGCUGAUACAUGUCGGGCCACUUUAUGAGAAGGGUUCCUCCCCAGACUGAAUGUCUCCAGGGUGCUGUGCUGCAUUUUCAGGGCAGUGCAGUUGGUACAGAUGGGUGGUUGCAUGUGAGUUUAGGGGUAUGUUUCUCAGUCAUUGUGGCCCUGGGCUUGCCCCUCGUGUUUUAUAGGAUGGGGUACUCUUACUUCACAAUCCUUGCUGUGUCCUUUCCUAUUACAGGAAGCAGAGGUGUCACUUAUGCAGAAGCCAUAGCAAAGAGGGCAGUCACACACUAAGCAAACCUUUUCUUUAUUUUCUUCACAUCAAAGCCUGAAAUUAUCAGUGACACAAAAAGCCCUCAGUGGACAGAUACCAGCCCCCAUCACCAGCAUCUUGUCCCACUUACAUCCAGCCUACUUUCCUCCUCUUGUCUUCUGAGAUAGUACGAUGGCAGUGAAACAUCAUUCUUCUCAUGCAUGUUCCCCCUGCCCUCACCCCCUCACACACACUCUUCUUUCUUUCUAAGGUCCAUGAUGGGCCAUGUGGUUUGUCCUAAGGUAAGAGUACCAGGUGGGUAUUGCAGGAGGAGGUGUUUGGAUGCUCACAUGAUUAAUGAAUUCCAGAGGAGGGGAAGCAGAGCUGUUUGUGAUUGACUUGGGUGCAUAUUGGCCUGCAAAAGGGGAUAAAAUGCUGCUGGAGACUGGGUCAACAGGGCAAACUGAUCUGGCAAAGUUGCAGGCAGAUUUGGUGUGGAUCCCCUCCCUCUCACCUCUCCCCCCACCCCAUAUACAGCUGAGUAAAAGCACAAAGAUGUGGUCAAACACAGAGAUAAAAUCCUAAAGUAGCUCCAUUGGUGCUUUGUAAUUGCAAAUUCUACAAGGCCAAAGGCUGCAAAUGUGUGUUUUUUCUUGCCAAACCUGUUUAUAUUAUAAUCCUUUAGACAUGGACUGUUGGCCAAAUGUGAUACCAAGGGCACCAAGCUGCACUGACACUCCUCUGGGAAGUUCAGAGAACAAGGAGGUCUCACUGAAGGGCCUGAUUCAACAGGAAACACCACGAGCUGAUUAUAUGACAAUCCAUUCCAACAGAUGAUAGAGUUGUUAUUUAGACACUGUAUUGACAAUAAAUCUAAUCAUAAUCAUCCA
ensembl:lncRNA